CAGGUGCUGGUGGCUCACGCCUGUUACCCUAGCUACUCAGGAGGCUGGGAUCUGAGGAUUGCAGUUCAAAGCCAGCCCGGGCAGGAAAGUCUGUGAGACUCUUAUUUCUAAUUAAUCACCAGAAAACCGGAAAUGGAGCUGUGGCUGGAAG